CCGAGUUUACAACUCCCAAACCCCUAUUGAACAUACCUACUGUUUGCCUCGGCGGAUCAGCCCGCUCCCCCGGUUAAAAAAGGGACGGCCCGCCCAGAGGACCCCCUAAACUCUGUUUCUAUAUGUAACCUUCUGAGUAAAAACAAACAAAUAAAUCAA
rnacentral:misc_RNA from 1 species